rnacentral:rRNA from 1 species
AGUGGCGGACGGGUGAGUAACGCGUGGGUAACCUGCCUCACACAGGGGGAUAACAGUUGGAAACGACCGCUAAUACCGCAUAAGCCAACAGGGGCGCAUGCUCUGGUUGGAAAAGAUUAAUCGGUGUGAGAUGGACCCGCGUCUGAUUAGCCAGUUGGCAGGGUAACGGCCUACCAAAGCGACGAUCAGUAGCCGGCCUGAGAGGGUGAACGGCCACAUUGGGACUGAGACACGGCCCAAACUCCUACGGAAGGCAGCAG